rnacentral:rRNA from 1 species
AUUGAACGCUGGCGGCAGGCCUAACACAUGCAAGUCGAGCGAGCGGCGGACGGGUGAGUAAUAUAUGUGGAAUGCCCGAGAGAGGGGGGUAACACCUCGAAACGGUAGCUAAUACAGCAUACUACAGGGUAACCCAUAUGGGAUUAGCUAGUAGGUGAGGUAAUGGCUCACCUAGGCGACGAUCCCUAGCUGGUCUGAGAGGAUGAUCAGCCACACUGGGACUGAGACACGGCCCAGACUCCUACGGAGGCAGCAGUGGGGAAUAUUGCACAAUGGGCGCAAGCCUGAUGCAGCCAUGCCGCGUGUAUGAAGAAGGCCUUAGGGUUGUAAAGUACUUUCAGUCGGGAGGCGUUACCGACAGAAGAAGCACCGGCUAACUCCGUGCCAGCCGCCGCGGUAAUUC